GCUCUGAUCCCCGUUCUGCGCAUGCGCGAAAAAAGAAAAAAAGGUUAACGGCUCGGGCAACGUUUUUGUUUUGCUCAGAGGCUCGGCAAAUCGUCAGCGCGGGAAAGAUGGCAGUUGAAUGCGAGGUGCCCUCUCCAGUUCCCCUGAUGGAUCUGCGGAGUCGGAUAUCUGGCGCUGCGGAGAACCGAGCUGAUUGCAGUACCAGCACUCUGAAGCACUUAUUUGAGCAGGAAAGAUAAAGGUGAGCAGAAAGUUUCGAGGCAAGACUGACUUCACGU